GCACUAGAUAUAGCCGAGCGGUCUAGGGGCGGCGUUGUGGGUUUGUCCGCAUUUGCGAGUGGGGGGCGGAGCGUCCGGGUGGUUGCGUGGUCGAGGGACUUCUCUUCUGGUCCUGUCUGUGGGGUCGGUGUCGGGCACGGUACACUUGGUGGAGUGGGUGUGAUCAGUGAGUGAUCUGUGAUGCUCCGAUUUGGGAGUGGGGACGGCGUUUUUGCUUUUGUCGGCCCUGGUUGCGAUGACUUGCUCCUUGGUUGGCCACGCGCGUGUCUGCUCUGUGCACUGUUUCAUUCUGGCCGUCAUUGGCUUGUCUGUGUUGGGCUGGGUUCUGGAUCUCAGGUGUGAACGUGCUGCCAUCCACCUGGCUUUCUGUUUCUCGACGUCCGUGGGGUCGACGGCAGUAGGGAGAUUUUCGAUUCCGCAAACGGCGUCUGCUGGGCUGCAUCGGUCGUCUGCGACGGGGUUUGGGCCAAAUCUUGGUGCUUCUUUGAUGAA
rnacentral:lncRNA from 1 species